CCCAGGACCCUGAGCCAAACCAGCGAGGGCACCCUUUUUCCUUAUUCAGCAGAGGCGCUCAGUCCACCCUGUUUUGGGCAAUCCUUAAACGGAUCUGUCCUUAAGGAGACAGGUCCUAAGAGGGCAGUGACAAAGCCAUCAGCACUGUGAAGGGUAAACCCAGGACUAUGGGAGCCACGGGCCCUGACAACUGGGUGUGUGGGGAGAGGGUGGUCAGUGGCCCCUGGGAAAACACUUGCUCAUCCUACAAAGCUUAGCUCCAGGGUCGCCUCCAAGAAGCCCUCCCUGCUCUCACCCUCUGAUGUAACCACAGCCCCUGAGCCCCUGAGCCCUGCUGUGCCUGAGCCCGCCUGCAUCUUCCUUCCGGUCGCUCAGAGGGUUCCGAGGCCAUGAGUCCACGGUGCCCGGGAUGCGGCUGGCCACGGAGCAGGCUUGGCGGGUGUUACUGACUGAACAAUUUGUUGUCAUGUUGUUCCCAUGGGUUUUAAACAGGAAAUGCCAGUGGCAGGAGCAUGUCCAGGGACAGCAAGUAGCAGCUCCUGCCGCCUCUAGUCCUCCAUUCCUGUCGCAGUCUGCUUGGGGAUGUGGGAGCAGAGAGAGGGCUGGCACCUCAGACGGCGAGGCCAAGGCCGGUGAAGUCGGGUGCGGGGGAGGGUGUUGACACCUGUCACUGCGGUCUCUGUUCGAAGGGGUGUUAGGCGGGGGCUCGCCCUCUGAGCCUCCAGGCAGGAAACCAGGCCCCCAGAAUGGAAACCAAUGCCCAAGACCAGAGGCGGGGGGAGAGCCAGUUUCUGGGGAUUUAUAAUGAUGGGGGAGGGGGCUGGGCUCUGGCCUUGGCAUUCCUCAGUUUUUCAUUCAUGAGAAAGCUGCCCCCUGUUGCUGCACCACCCUCACUCCCACCCCGGGCAGUUAGCCAUGGGACUGCCCUAUUGGGGGAAAAGCCAUGCUGUCUUUAUCCAAAUUCAGGAGACAGCCCAUCCGCAGAGGGGCCCCUGGCUGCGUGGCUGUAGACCCCAGUCAUACGCCCCACGCUAGUCUUGGAUUGUGUGUGACCUAUGACUAAGGCCCCAUGUGUCAGCCUCAGAGCUAGGGGUCCCAGUGUGGGCAUAAAAGGGGGUGUCAUAAAAUCUGUCUCUGUGGUGGUAGGGGUUGUGGAAACUUGGGGGAGGAGAGACGGGGAGUGGAGCUGGGUGGCCUUCCUCAUUGACCCACUUCUUCCCUCCAUUGAUUGUGAGUCCCGCGAUGCCAGGAGAUUUUAGUCGUUUUUGAUUGGUGCUGUGUCCCUGGCACCUGACACAGAGCCUGGUCAAUGGUGGCCGCACAGGGCACAUUUAUUGAAUGAGUGGAUGGAUGAAUGAACGUCCCCGCUCACUCACUCACUUGCACUCAUCCCGCAGCUCCUGGCUGGCACCCAGGGGCCCCGGGUCUCAAGGGCGCACCGCCGGGCAGGAACUGCUGACAUGAACCCAGAGGAGGCUUGUGCCCCAGCGCAGAAGGACUGAAGGCGGGAAGUUACUAGGGUCACAGAGGUCAGGAGACAGCUGUGAGUGGCAAGUGCACUCAGGCCUGAUAGUGCAGCUGGAGGCGUGGGUCCAAGUUCGAGAGGUCAGCUGUGCAGCCAGCCAUUCCCCUCCAGACCUCCGUUCCUCAUCUCUAAGUGGCAGUGACAGCUCCUUCUGACGGUGGGUCCCGAAUGCUGUGCUGUGGGGCACGGAGCCAGAGCCGUGUUUGUUUUCUCUCUGGGUUUGCUGUUUUUAUGUCCUGUUUGAGCCCAGAGUCGUGGAGUCAGAAGGACUUGGUGUGCCUGUCUGGAAAGGGGCGGGGAGAGGAAUGUGGCUUUCAGUCCCUGUCCCUGGUUCCUGGUGCAUGCCUUGGCAUUCUCAUAAUUGGCCAGGACCCCAGCCACUGGUACAGCAGGUCCUGGGGCCAGCAGGCACACAGGAUCACUAGCUCACUGACCUUCCCUCCUUGGCUGCUCUAGUCCCACUGGCCUCUAGUCCCACAUCUCACCUUGGCUGCCUGUAAGUCUCCCAGUGUCUACCAUGUCUGACAGCUUUAGGUUCUUGCCUGAGGCCUCUUGGCCCUCCACCUUGUGAAUCAGGAAGGUGGCUGAGGAGGGAGCUUGCUGAGGGUUGGGGGCUAUUACUCCUAUAAAUACCCAUCAUCAUGUGAUAACUAUUAGGUGAAACCCUGAUGUUCAGGGAGCAGGCCAGGGAAGGCUUCACACAUGAGGCGGGACCUGAUCUGGAUCGCGGGGGUUGAGUAGGAAUGAGACGACAGCCAAAGGAUUUGCUGGUGUGCAAAUCUGGUAUGUGCUUGGGUAGCCAGAAGUUCAGUGGGAACCCUUGGAUGGCAGUGGCCAGUUUGCUUUAUGUCUUGGGCAGUUCCUGGAAGGGACAGGGUCACUGAAGGGUCUUGAGCUGGGAAGAGAUGUGGUCCAACGCAUUGUAGAAAGACUGGCCCACUCCCGUGACUCGGAGAAGAGCAGAAAGAGUAGAUCUGGGGCAGGAGGUUGGCAGCACAGUGCAGUCUGCCAGGCCUUCAUCAACACACACACACACACACACACACACACACACACACACGAGGCUGGAUCCCUGUCUCCACUCACCUCUUUAUUAAACUAGUCAGGAGGAGAAGUCAAGAAGUCGUGAAGAUUCCAAAAUGAUCCUGGACUUCCCCCAUUCCCAGGAUUCUUCCCUGAUGGGAUCUUUGUGUGGCCUUCCGAUGCAGGAGCAGGACUCAGUCUUCCAAAGAACUCUGCCAAUGGGAGGCAGCUCCUAAGAGGCAUGGGGAGGACUUAGGGCAGGGCCUUACAUGGAUGCUUAAAGCUUCCCUGUCCUUGCCCACCCUUGGGGAAACUCCCUGUCAUGUUUCCCAAAUCCCAGGAAGCACUCUGCAAACCCCCCCUCCAGCAGAUACACAGCGGCUGCCACAGAGGAACCUGCAGAGAAAGGGCAGCAGGGGGGCGAGAGGGAAUCCUCACAUUGUUAAUUUAAAUAGAUUUUUGUUGAUUUCAGAGAGGAAGGGAUAGAAACAUCAAUGAAGGAAUCGUUCAUCAGCUUCCUCUUGCAUGCCCCCUACUUGGGGUCAAUCCCACAACCAGGGCAUGUGCCCUGAGGGGAAAUUGAACUGUGACCUCCCAGUUCAUAGGUCAACACUCAACCACUGAGCCACGCCUGCUGGGCAUGUCUCACCUUUUUAGCUGGUUGACUUCCUGUGUUCCCAGACAACUUAGUGAAGCCGAGAAGGGA